AGAGAUGGGGAGCUGGAUCCGCGCAGAACCCCGGAAAAGCGCCAGCAGGAUUGCACCGAGAACAAAUCCUCCGCACCCUCGCCCAGGGCUGGGGCGCAGUGCGCUGGUGCUCCUCUAGCUGGGCGGUCCCUGUGCUCCAAACGAGAAGAUAGCUGACUUCCGAAUCCUUCACUCUUUGAUCCUGACCCAAGCCACUCGUGCCACUAGGAGCGCAUGCCUAUGGAAUACUCGCUCCUGUCUCCUUGUGGUGAAGCCUUCCGCUAAUGCCCAGAGCCUCCCAGGCUGGAUUAGUGGGUAGGAGCAAAACAGGAUAGUGGAGACAAUCAGCAGAGCAGCAGCGUCUAUUUCCUCGGGAUUCCUCCCAGGAACCCUAUUCGAAGCCAUUCCUUCUAAAAGUUUGCAGCCAGUCUCUCUUUCCUUUGUUGGUUUUAAGAGGAGGCAGUAGAGCUACCUACAUACAAAAACGAAAGCCUGAUACUGGUAACCUAAGUCUUUACUUAACCAUCCUCUUCGGAGGCUUUGCACACAUUACUUUUCCUCUAUGCAUUGUCAUUUCUGAAAUAAGGAUGGUCAUACUGGUGUGCUUGGAAUUUCUCUGAAAUAUACUCCUAAAAGAUUAGAUUAAGAUUAGAUUCCGCUACUCUAAAAUGAAAAAAAAUAUUUAUCUGUUUAAAAAGGUAAUACAUAUUCUCCAAGAUGUUAAUUAAAGGCUUCCCUCAAAUGGAUUGGAUUUUCAGUUCCUUCAGGGUUUUCCACACCCUAAUAGUAUUGCAUUUGUAAGGCAUUUUUACAGUGUAACCUGAAAUUAAUCUUCAGUUAAUAUAGAAUUAUGCCCACAGGAGUAUAGGAAUUGUUUAUAAAACAAAGCAGCCUGGGCUUUUCAAAUACCUAGAAACAAAGGUAAACAGAAAUGGAAAUAUUUAACAUGUUCUACACAGUUCCACUUAAAGUCUUUUAGUAGUUGUUUUUGUUUUGUUUUGUUUUGUUUGUUUUUUCCUUAAGAAAGUACUCUUUGCCCAAAUAUGUGUUAUAUGUGACAGGUUCCAUUCUUCUCAAUAUAUCUGCAUUGGUGAAGAAUGAACCAUAUACCAAUAAGUUAUAACUUUAAAAGAGUAGAAAUGGAUUUAAACAACGACCACAAAAACAAAUCAAAUAUCCAGCAAAACAGAUGAGUGUUGUCUUUUAGAGCAAUUGCUUUGGAAAAUUCAACUGAUUUCACUGACAUUGAUUGCACAAAACACAUUUUAUCUUCUUUAAAAUUGCCUUUCAGAAGCGUAUUAGCAGCCAUAACCAACUAUUUGCCUCACUCUCUUAUAGACGUGUGUUUGUCUUAGUAGAUUCAUAUAGUUCCACAGACAUCUAGUCAGCAACCUCAAAAGAGUAAAUGGUCUCUAUGAUUAAUGUCCUUUAAUAAAGUUCAGAAUUGGAUGAGAAACUGAUAAACUGAAAUGAAAGUCACUUCAUAGUGUAUCAUAUUAUCAAGGAGAGCUGUGGGAAUUAGCUUAUGACACUUUUGUGCAUCACAGUCUAAUUCAUAUCCUUAAAUGUGCAUACAUAUCCUGUGUAUUGUAGUAACAAUGAACCACUCUGAUGAAUGUCCAUAAACCCAGUUGUGACACUGACAGGAGUUUGGGAGUUUGUGGAAGUGGUGGUGAAAUAUCGAUUAAUCCAAAUUGAAAUAGGACAAGAUUAUUGAUGCUUGAUUUCUUUUGUAUCAAAUCAUUUAGUUGCUCAGGAAAUUCCAUUUCUAACCAGAAUAUGUGCUGUGACUGCUCUUCAAAUAGACAACAGACUCAAACUCAGAUGCCUGCAUGGUUAGGGCCAAUGACAUAAAUGGACCAGCAUGCUAGGUUGUAGGAGAGAGUGGAAAAUGUUGAUUGCCAUAACACCUUGAAGAGCACAAAAACACAUGCUAUAGCUAAAUGGGGAGAUUGCUUCUCAGAGUACACUCAGCUGGCCUGCAAAAAUCUUGAUUCAGUAUUGUCAGAUACGAUUUUUAAGAGAAGCAAAAUCCAUAUUGUUAAAAAUCUUCUGAAUUUUAAAUAAACCAAAUUAAUUUUUAAAAAUCCAAAACUCCUAGUGGACAGGCCAAAAUAAAUAAGAAAUCAUAGAUAGAUAGAUAGAUAGAUAGAUAGAUAGAUAGAUAGAUAGAUAGAUAGCAGCCUGACUCAUCAUGGGCCUCCAAUAUUGUAACAUGUUAUAUUAGUAUUUGAUGUCUGACAAAUCUCCUUAGAUAUUUAAAACAUAGUUCUACUACCAUUUCCCCUACCCCAUAGACCAUUUCUCAAUGCACAGAAAUACAAAAGGAAUACAGCCAAAGAUUAGUUGCCAAAUAAGUAAUUUUCUUUUCCAUUUCUGGUUGAAUAGAUAUUCCCAAGGAGACUCUGAAGUAAGAGAUUUGUUGAAUAACUGAACAAUCCAAAUAUUUUAGAUAGCUAGAUGAAAUUUCAGAAAAGCUCUCCAUUAAAAAAGUUCAAUAAUAUCAGUAUUGAGGACCACUUGUGAUACAUACUUAUUAGAUAAAGAAAAUCAUGAUAUAGAUUUCCUGCACUGUAAUUUCAUUUUAACAGCAAAGAUGCUUCCCCCACGGUAUAAAUAAUUUCAUUGUUAUUUUGAUUAUAAAAAUUAUAAUCAUUGUAAAAGUUAGAAUAAACAAAAACAUCAUAGAAGAAAUAGGCAUUAUCUAAAACAAUGCAGUCCCACAGAACUUUCUGCAAUAAUGGAAAUGUUUUGUAUCUGGGCUGUGCAGUACAGUAGCCACUAGACAUAUGUGGUUAUUGAGCACUUGACGUGUGGCUAGUGCAACUGAAGAACUGAAAUUUUAAAUUUUAUUGAGUUGUAGUUAAUUUGAAUGUAAAACUAAAUAUAGUUGACCCUUGAACAGCACAGUUUGAACUGCACAGGUCCACUUAAACUCAGAUCUUUUUCACCCAAACACAAAUGGAAAAUACAGUGUUUGCGGAUGUGAAAUGGCCUUUACAGAAGGUCCAUUUUUCAUAUAUGUGGUUCUGCAGGGCCGACUGCCAGACAUGAAUAUGCAAGGAUUUUGGCAUAUGCAGGGGUCCUGAAACCAAUAGCUGCUCUCCCCGCCCCCCGCCCCAGUAUACAGAAUGACAACUGUAACCACAUAGGGAGCGUAAGUGGUGGACUGUAUAAAGUCUAAAAUUUCAUCAUCCAGCAUGACCAUCAUCAGCAUAUUGGUGUAAAAUCUCUACUUUUAAUUAACUUGUAGCCUGCCUUCUCAACUUUUAAGCUUAAAAAUAUGUCAAAAACAUAUUUCCAUUUCCUUAAUAUAAUAAAUAUACAUCCUUCCUUUAAUGGUUGCCUAGUCAUAAACUGUAUGAUUAUAUUCUCAUGAGUUAUUGUUGUUAUGGACAAAACUGUGAGAAAUGAUCUUGGAUAUAUUUGCAGUACCUUUGUCCAGUUAUUUCUUUCACAUAAAUCCAGCAGGGAGUAAGAGCGAGGUAUUUUAAAAUUUUUUCCUUAAGCCAAGUUCACAUUACAUAAACCUUAACCACAAAGGUUAAAUUGAAUGAUGGGAAAACCAAGAAACUUCUUCCAUGAAAAGGCAAAUACUUCAGGUAACAUGGAGUCCACGUAAAGUGUUCAGUAUAAAAUUUCAGUGGCCCCAGGUGGGGAAGAUUGAAGUGGGGAAACUAAAUCAGGAGGAAAAAAAAGCACAAGAGAAUAAGUUUCUUUGGAUUCCAGGGUUUCCUGUUUUCACUCUGCCAGAAAGCUAGCUUUUUCGUUUUUUUUUUUUUCCCCUCACCUUAAUAUCAGCGGUCCCUGAGAGAUUAUUGAGUAACUUGUAAGCCAUAUCAACCUGACUUAAGCCACAGACAGAACAAAGUGGUGCAGUUCCGCUGGAAUGUGGAAGCUGAUUCCCAAAGAAAAGAAGUAAACCCACAAAUCAGGCCACUGGCCAAAAGGAAGAAAUUUGAGGAAGGGAGGAAGAGCACAGGACCAAAAAGUGAGCACAGCCAGCUGAAGUGGAAGAAUUAUCUUAACUCCAGUAAUGUAAGAAAAGCUCAGAGAAGCUAAUAAAGUCAUGUACUUAACUUCUUAGGUUAAACAAACAAAGACUAAUGAGUUCCUAGUUAGGAAAUAUUAAUAAUCAAACUAGCUGAACAUGUAGUUAUGGUAUUUAGUAUAUUGAAAACUGAUUGUCUUGCUUUAUUUAAAUGCUUGAUACGUUUAGUGAAUAUUUUUAAGCUUAUUAAGUCCCUCUUGUAGAACUAGUAUUUAAAGUUUCAAUAAUUGCCUUGUAGCAAAAAUUAUGGAACCUAGAUAUCCUAAUGGCCAUUUGGUUAUAAUAUAGAUUCUCAAUAGGUCAUAUGGAUAUUUCUGUUUGGAUCUAUGCCUGCUUUUCCUUUCAUGGAGGAGAAGGAGCAGAAGGAGUUAAUACCUGAACAGAUAUAAUUGGGGCUGCAUCAAAUACACAUAUAAAAAAGUCUAUAUAAGUGUACUACUUUAAAAUAGUCUUUUUAAAAAAAACUUCACUUUUUGAAAAACUAGUCAAUCUAAUCAAGUUUGUUCUGAUGAAAAAUUGACUUCCUUCUCUGACCUUCAUUUGUAGCGAGUAGUCCAGUAAAGUUUGAAUGGGCAAGAAAUGGUCAUCAAAUCGUGAACUUCACAAAUCUCAUAGGCUAAAUUUCUUAAAAUAUUUGUAUGCAAUAUGAAUAAGGCAGGUGUCUUAUUCAAGAAAAGCAAGUAGUCAUUCAAAGUAAAACGUAUGCUACUUCCUAAACUGGGCAUAUCAUUUGCUAUGAUUUUUAUUUCUGUGGAUUUGGCUUUUUAUUUUUGUUUUGAGUUUUUAAUUGCAAAUUCAAAGCAAUUAAGCAGGAUUAUAAGCAACAUAUGCAGCAUGUUGCUGAGAUUUUUACUUUUUAGCAAUCAUCCAAAUGGAUAUUGAUACUAGUAAGGAACCAAAUCUAAAAGGGUAUUUAAAUGCAAAUGAUUCACAGUUUGAAUUUUAACUAAGAACAAAGGAAGGGACAUUUUUAAGUGGAAUUCAGAAUUUAAUCAAUGCAAAUUUUCAUUUGAUUAUCUGAAACAUGCACAGAAGACCCAUGGCUAAAGAGGAAACAUGCACCAUUUUAGAAAUUUCAAUUUUAUUUAAUAAGUGUUUAUCCUUGUAGCAUAUAGAGACAUAAUUUGAUAUAUAUUUUUGAAUCAUACACUGAAAACAAAUUUAAGUUUUAAUUUUUUUAAAAAGAGUACAAGUAAAAUCAAAGCUCUUUCUCAUGCUAAAUUACUAUUGAUAUCUCCUGAGAAAGGGGAAGUGAAAGAUUUAUAUACAGUUUUCACAUAGCAUUUUGGAGAUGGUGAAAUGUUUUAUUCAAAAUAAAAAUUUCAGAACAUGAAAUGAAUAAUGCAAGUAGCAUUUAAUUCAUGACUCAUUACUCUUUUAUUAUACAAAGGAAUUAUAUAAAAUCCAUAUACGAUUUUAUUACGCACCACUCCUACAAAGAAAUCUUUAUUGAGACUGUAUGCUAGACACUGUCCGUGUAAAGAUGAAUUGUACACAGACCUGCUAUUGAUUGUCUCUAGUCUGUUAAGGGUACACAGGCUUUUAAAUAAAGAAAUACAUUAAACAGA